AGGGGUCAAAAGUGCAAUUAAGCCAAAAAGAAACCGUUGAAUUACGGAGGUCUAUCAGAUUUUAUGGUGUAUCACCAACACUUAAUUUUUUACUUUAUUCAUCUUCUUCCUCCAUCUUCAUCUUCUUUCAACCUUCAUCAUCCCAUUAAAAUUAUUCACAUCUCUCAUAAAAAUCUAGAAAAAUAAAAUUAAAAAACUCAAAUUAAACACCGCAAAUAAAAUAAAAUAAAACUCACAAAUUAAACCAUACAAAUCCAAAAAAAGAACUAAACAAAUUCAUAUCAAACCUUUUCUCCCAAAUCCAAACCUGCAAUUUAUUUCUUAUUCAUAUUCAUAGAUCGAAGCUCGUUCCAAGAUUCGGUUAAAGUUUCACAAAAUUGCAACUCCUCAAUUCUACAGCUCUAAGUUUCACACAUAGUUUUGCUGAAACGCAACUCUUGAAUCCUAGAACGUGAAAUUAUGAACAAAACAACAACACCAAAUAAACAGAAGAAAAAAAAAACCUCUACCAGCAAUCAGCCAGCGACCAAAAGAAAAGCAAAACACCAGAUAACUAAAACACACCAAACAACAAGAAACAACAUGCAAACACAAUCGAAGUCGGUACAAAUCAAUUGGAUUUGGAAGUUCGGAUGAAAGGCCAAUUGGGGAUUUUGAGGUUCUACCCAAUCUAUCAAAGUAAGGGUGGAAUAAUCACUGUAGAUGUGAAGAACAGUGGUACUAAGGAGUAUAUUCAUAUGGUAGUGGAGAGCUUACUGUUCUUGAGGGAGAGUCACAUUCAGAUCUGAUUGUUGCAGGUGGGAAUGAAAGUUUAGGAUAAACUAUUUUUUGUGAAAAAAGGUGGGUUUUUUCCUAAUGAAAGGGUACGAUUUAAAAAAGGGUAAAUCGAAGCCAACGUUGAGAGAAGAAGGGUGAAUGAAUUGGAAAAAAGUAAUGGAGAAGAAGAAGUAAUGGAAUUCCAUAAGAGAAAAAAAUAAAUUCGGUGUUGAAGAAGAUGAAAUUUGUUGGGUUUAGUAA
rnacentral:lncRNA from 1 species